GUCUCGAACUCCUGACCUCAGGUGAUCUGCCUGCCUCAGCCUCCCAAAGUGCUGGGAUUACAGGCGUGAGCCACUGUACCCAGCCCUCACCCAGUCUUCUCUACCCCUGUCUCCUACACCUGUGCACACCCCUGCAUGCUUCCUGCUUUUGUCUCCCACUUUGCUCCCCUCAAGCCUGUCCCGAUUCCCACUUACCCAUGGUACUGUCGAAGUUCUUGAAGCACCUGCUGGACAAUCAGCCUGUGGGGGUGGAGGUGGGAUUAGAACAGCCCAUGGUAGCUCCAGGUUACAGACACUCUCCCCUAGAUAAGCUGGGGUUGCCCAAGCAGGCCUCAGGUCCUGAUGCAGACCCUACUCAAAGCCACAGUCAGCCGGGCACAGUGGCUCACGCCUGUAAUCCCAGUACUUUGGGAGGCCAAGGUGGGCGGAUCACCUGAGGUCAGGGGUUCGAGACCAGCCUGGCCAACAUGGUGAAACCCCGUCUGUACUAGAAAUACAAAAAUUAGCCGGGCGUGGUGGCGGG
rnacentral:lncRNA from 10 species